AUGAAAUAAUAUAAUAUUAUAAAUUAUUAUAAUAAUUUGAAAAAUUAUAGAUGUUAUUUUAACUGUAUUAAUAAUAUG
rnacentral:tRNA from 1 species